AUGAUCUUUGCCUAAAUUUUAGUCUAUGGUAUAAGAAAACUUGCCAAUUGUCUCUGCUUUAUCAUCUAGUUUACCUUCUUCAUACACCAGCUGGCACCACUUUCUAUGGAAAUUGGUGAUCUGUCAACUUGACAUUUCAUAGCGUUUGUGAUUUUUGCCGCCUACACAGCAAAAAUUUUUAUCUUUUUUGUUCUAAGUAUAAAAUAAGAAUAAAACACAGUUAAAAUGUGCAAAUAGGAAAUAUAAGUGAUGCAGAGUGUAAGGGUAAAGAGUGGUGACGGUGAAAGGUUGACUUCUGUCGGCCCGGAUGAAGGAAAAGCUCGAAAUCCGAGUCGUCUUUUUCAGAUUCAUCCUCAUCAUCCUCGGAAAUGGAAAUGUUUGCUUCACCACCUCCAAAUAGGCGACGGAGGCCAUAUGGGGAGAUCUUACUAUUAACCUACCAUAAGUACCAGAAUGAUUUUAUUGGUUGAUAAGAAGUUAAUGACAUAAUGUUGAUCUCAAGGAGAUGUCCUAAAUAAUUUGAGUUAUUUAACCUAAAGACUGGUUAUUUGUUUAAUAAGUUUCUUAUUGGUUCGUCUGCUUCUCAGAGAGUACAAUAAGUUGUUUAAUGUAUUAUUUUGUAUUGUGAUAUUAAACUUCUUUAUAUUCUUUCAUUCUUAAUACAUUUUAUAUCACAUAGCGUUUGUGCUUGACAC